GAGUUUGAUCGUGGCUCAGGACGAACGCUGGCGGCGUGCCUAAUACAUGCAAGUAGAACGCUGAAGAGAGGAGCUUGCUCUUCUUGGAUGAGUUGCGAACGGGUGAGUAACACGUGGGUAACCUGCCCAAAAGAGGGGGAUAACACUUGGAAACAGGUGCUAAUACCGCAUAACCAUGAUGACCGCAUGGUCAUUAUGUAAAAGAUGGUUUCGGCUAUCACUUUUGGAUGGACCCGCGGCGUAUUAACUUGUUGGUGGGGUAACGGCCUACCAAGGUGAUGAUACGUAGCCGAACUGAGAGGUUGAUCGGCCACAUUGGGACUGAGACACGGCCCAAACUCCUACGGGAGGCAGCAGUAGGGAAUCUUCCACAAUGGGCGCAAGCCUGAUGGAGCAACGCCGCGUGAGUGAAG
rnacentral:rRNA from 1 species